rnacentral:rRNA from 1 species
AGAACGAACGCUGGCGGCAUGCCUAAUACAUGCAAGUCGAACGCACCUUCGGGUGAGUGGCGGACGGGUGAGUAACACGUGGGAACGUGCCUUUUGGUUCGGAAUAAUCCGGGGAAACCUGGCCUAAUACCGGAUGUGCCCUUCGGGGGAAAGAUUUAUCGCCAUUAGAGCGGCCCGCGUCUGAUUAGCUAGUUGGUGAGGUAACGGCCCACCAAGGCGACGAUCAGUAGCUGGUCUGAGAGGAUGAUCAGCCACACUGGGACUGAGACACGGCCCAGACUCCUACGGGAGGCAGCAGUAGGGAAUCUUGCGCAAUGGGCGAAAGCCUGACGCAGCCAUGCCGCGUGAAUGAUGAAGGUCUUAGGAUUGUAAAAUUCUUUCAGCGGGGAAGAUAAUGACUGUACCCGCAGAGAAGCUCCGGCUAACUUCGUGCCAGCAGCCGC